GAGGAUAUAGCUCAGUGGUAGAGCGCAUGCUUAGCAUGCAUGAGGUCCUAGGUUCAAUCCCCAGUACUUUCA
rnacentral:tRNA from 1 species